rnacentral:rRNA from 1 species
CUGUUCACUGAAAUUUUAAAUAACUGCAGUAUAUUAACUGUGCUAAGGUAGCAUAAUCAUUUGUCUUUUAAUUGAAGUCUUGUAUGAAUGAUUUAAUGAAAAAAUAACUUUUUUAAGUUAACUAUAUUAAAUUUGAAUUAAAAUAAAAAAUUUUUAAUGUUUUUAUUAGACGAUAAGACCCUAUAAAAUUUAAUAAAUAUUUAAUUUUAAGUUAAUUUAAUAUUUAUUUAGUUGGGAAGACUUUAAAAUUAUUGAAACUUUUAUAUAAAAUAAAUUUCUUAAAAUUGUUUUUGAAUGAGUUUAAUUAUUUAAGAUUAAAUUACUUUAGGGAUAACAGCAUAAUAUUAUUUUAAAGUUCUUAUUUAAUAUAAUGAUUAUGACCUCGAUGUUGAAUUAGGAUAAUAAUUUACAGAAGAUUGUAAAUAUAAUAGUCUGUUCGACU